AUUGAACGCUGGCGGCAUGCCUUACACAUGCAAGUCGAACGGCAGCACGGGUGCUUGCACCUGGUGGCGAGUGGCGAACGGGUGAGUAAUACAUCGGAACGUACCUUAUCGUGGGGGAUAACGCAGCGAAAGCUGUUCUAAUACCGCAUAAGCCCUGAGCGGGAACGCGGGGGAUCGACAGACCUCGCGCGCUUAGAGCGGCCGAUGCCUGAUUAGCUUGUGGGUGGGGUAAAAGCCCACCAAGGCGACGAUCAGUAGCUGGUCUGAGAGGACGAUCAGCCAAACUGGGACUGAGACACGGCCCAGACUCCUACGGGAGGCAGCAGUGGGGAAUUUUGGACAAUGGGGGCAACCCUGAUCCAGAAAUGCCGCGUGAGUGAAGAAGGCCUUCGGGUUGUAAAGCUCUUUUGUCAGGGAAGAAACACCGGCUCUAACACAGUCCGGGAAUGACGGUACCUGAAGAAUAAGCACCGGCUAACUACGUGCCAGCAGCCGCCGUAA
rnacentral:rRNA from 1 species